GAGCUGUUAGUACUGCUUUCAUCUGUUUUACAGCCACAGCGACAGCAGUUCCCUGGCUUCUGGAAGGAGUGUCGGUCUAUCCAAAAAAUGUACUAACAGAUAUGUAAAAAGUCGAAGGCUGAAUUUGGACCUGCUUUUCCUGUAUUUUCUCAGUUGCAUCUGGGCAGUAAGCUAAGUAUACAAGAAACGAGGGCCAACAUGAAGACAGUGUGGUGCACCAGGUGACGAAGUAAAUGUGCACGGGCUGUACUUUGAAUCAUCCUGUUAAAAACCAGUAGUGGGCCGGGCGCGGUGGCUCACGCCUGUAAUCCCAGCACUUUGGGAGGCCGAGGCGUGCGGAUCACGAGGUCAGGAGAUCGAGACCAUCCCGGCUAACACGGUGAAACCCCGUCUCUACUAAAAAUACAAAAAAUUAGCCGGGCGUGGUGGCGGGCGCCUGUAGUCCCAGCUACUCGGGAGGCUGAGGCAAGAGAAGGGCGUGAACCCGGGAGGCGGA
rnacentral:lncRNA from 1 species